UACAGAGGGUGCAAGCGUUAAUCGGAAUUACUGGGCGUAAAGGGCGCGUAGGUUGUUAUUUAAGUGAGAUGUGAAAUCCCCGGGCUUAACCUGGGAACUGCAUCUUAUACUGGGUAACUGGAGUGCAAUAGAGGGUAGUGGAAUUUCCGGUGUAGCGGUGAAAUGCGUAGAUAUCGGAAGGAACACCAGUGGCGAAGGCGGCUACCUGGAUUGACACUGACACUGAGGCGCGAAAGCGUGGGUAGCAAACAGG
rnacentral:rRNA from 1 species